AGCAGCGUGGCUUAGUGGAAAGAGCUUGGGCUUGGGAGUCAGAGGUUGUGGGUUCUAAUCCCACCUCUGUCA
rnacentral:tRNA from 1 species